CCCAACCGACGUCGACGCGGUCCGUCGUUUAAAUUUUCUAUCUCCGUUAUACAUCCAAUAAUAAAGGAAACUUUCCAAUUUCAAAUUCUAAAGUCGACCCGUUGCCCACUUCUCUCUCCUUUCUUCAAUUCAUUGCCGAUCUAUCGAUCGAUUACCAAAUCGCCGGCGGUGCUGAUUAUAUUGUUUCAGUCGUUACCUGAGUCAAGUUGCCGAUCUUUGACUCGGAUCAAUGGAGAAUCUCAUACAGUUGGUUAACAGAUUACAGAGAGCUUGUACAGCCCUUGGCGAUCACGGUGAAGAGAGUGCAUUGCCUACUCUCUGGGACGCCCUUCCUUCCAUCGCCGUCGUUGGUGGCCAGAGCUCUGGGAAGUCUUCAGUGCUUGAGAGCAUUGUUGGAAAGGAUUUUUUGCCUCGUGGAUCCGGUAUUGUCACUCGUCGACCCCUUGUCCUACAGCUUCAUCGGAUAGAUGAGGGUAGAGAAUAUGCAGAAUUUGGACACCUUCCAAGGAAGAGGUUUACUGAUUUUGCUGCCGUGAGAAAGGAGAUUGCUGACGAGACUGAUCGAGAGACAGGCCGUUCUAAACAGAUCUCCAGCGUCCCAAUUUAUCUCAGUAUAUAUUCUCCAAACGUCGUAAACUUGACACUGAUCGAUCUUCCUGGACUUACAAAAGUAGCAGUUGAGGGACAAUCUGAGAGCAUUGUUGCGGACAUUGAAAACAUGGUUCGCUCUUAUAUUGAGAAGCCAAAUUGCAUUAUUCUUGCUGUUUCUCCUGCGAAUCAAGAUCUUGCAACAUCGGAUGCUAUUAAGAUUUCUCGCGAAGUAGACCCUAAAGGGGAAAGGACAUUUGGUGUUCUGACAAAGAUUGAUCUUAUGGAUAAGGGUACUGAUGCUGUCGAUAUCUUGGAAGGAAGAGCAUAUAAACUACAAUUUCCAUGGAUAGGUGUUGUCAAUCGUUCUCAACAAGAUAUUAAUAAAAACGUUGACAUGAUUGCUGCCAGGCGUAGAGAAAAGGAGUAUUUUUCUAGUACCCCUGAGUACAGGCAUAUGGCCAACAGGAUGGGUUCAGAACAUCUUGGGAAAGUUAUGUCAAAACACUUGGAGUCUGUUAUCAAGUCAAGAAUUCCAGGUCUUCAGUCUCUUAUCAACAAGACCAUCAUUGAGCUAGAAAAUGAAUUGAGCCGUCUUGGGAAGCCCAUUGCGACAGAUGCUGGAGGAAAGUUGUACAUGAUUAUGGAAGUCUGUCGUACUUUUGAUGGAAUCUUCAAAGAACAUCUUGAUGGAGUUCGACCUGGUGGGGAUAAAAUAUAUAAUGUCUUUGAUAAUCAGCUUCCAGCUGCAUUGAAAAGAUUGCAAUUUGAUAAGCAACUUUCAAUGGACAAUGUAAGGAAACUUAUAACUGAAGCUGAUGGAUACCAACCACAUUUGAUUGCUCCUGAGCAAGGAUAUCGUCGUCUUAUUGAAUCCUCCUUGACUUCUAUGAAGGGUCCUGCUGAAGCAGCCGUUGAUGCGGUUCAUGCUAUACUGAAGGAACUGGUUCACAAGUCAAUUAGUGAGACUGCAGAGCUAAAGCAAUAUCCUUCUCUUAGAGUUGAGGUCAACGGUGCAGCUGUUGAAUCACUAGAAAGGAUGAGGGAUGAAAGCAAAAAAGCAACUCUUCAGCUGGUUGAAAUGGAGUGUAGUUACCUGACUGUAGAUUUCUUCCGGAAACUUCCUCAAGAUAUUGAGAAGGGAGGAAAUCCAACACAUUCAAUUUUUGACCGGUAUAAUGAUUCCUAUCUUCGAAGGAUAGGAUCGAAUGUGNCCAGCAAUAAUGCAGCGUCGUAUCUCUCUGGCGAAGAGACUUGAGUUGUACAGAGCUGCUCAGGGUGAGAUCGAUUCAGUUGCAUGGGCUAAAUAGAGACGCAAACCUUUCUUUUUCCUCCAAUUUUUGUUCAUCACGAUUUGGAUGUAGGGAUACGUGGCCUAUGAUUCUUUGCUUCAACAUGUAAUUCUUUCCAUGGUAAGUAGUGAUAUACUAGAUAGGUAGGGGAGUUAAUUAGUCGGUUUGAUACGGUUUUGAAAGACUUCGAUUUGCUAUUUUCGGUUUUAAAAAGGUUAUAUACCAAAUAUCAUACCGAAAUAAAUUUAAUAUUUGUUUGGUUUUUCAGUU